UCGGUGAACGCCCUACACCCUUGUAUAUUUCUCACUACACCCGGGCUCUGAUGUAGCGCGUCGUUAAUAGAGGACGCCUCAACGUUUAUAACUAAGAGUUGAAAAUUUUUUUCCGUCUUUUAUCUAGCUUCUUGACGUCUUAGUUGUGGUUUUCUUUUUAUGAAUUUUAUGGCUGCUUUAAGCUUUAUAGUCAUCUGGAAAAGGAUUUUCCUAUGCUUUGUGUUGUGCAAUUAUGAAAUGAUGUUUGUUUCAUUAUUUUUCAGAGUUUUUAACUUUCAUAUUAAUGCUAAAUUCCGUGUAUCUAUUGGGAGAUGCUUUAUCUUCAGUUUAACAAAUAUUCUGUUUCUGAUCCAUCAUUUUGUUUGCUUUAAAAUUUUUCUUGUAUAUGUAUAUGAUGCUUUAUCUUCAGUUUAACAAAUAUUCUGUUUCUGAUCCAUCAUUUUGUUUGCUUUAAAAUUUUUCUUGUAUAUGUAUAU
rnacentral:misc_RNA from 1 species